rnacentral:rRNA from 1 species
AUUGAACGCUGGCGGCAUGCCUUACACAUGCAAGUCGAACGGCAGCGGACCUUCGGGUGCCGGCGAGUGACGAACGGGUGAGUAAUAUAUCGGAACGUACCUUUCAGUGGGGGAUAACGUAGCGAAAGUUACGCUAAUACCGCAUAUUCUGUGAGCAGGAAAGCAGGGGAUCGCAAGACCUUGCGCUGAUUGAGCGGCCGAUAUCAGAUUAGCUAGUUGGUGAGGUAAAGGCUCACCAAGGCGACGAUCUGUAGCAAGUCUGAGAGGAUGAUCCGCCACACUGGAACUGAGACACGGUCCAGACUCCUACGGGAGGCAGCAGUGGGGAAUUUUGGACAAUGGGCGCAAGCCUGAUCCAGCCAUGCCGCGUGAGUGAAGAAGGCCU